rnacentral:lncRNA from 1 species
GGCCGAGGAGAUGUUUGAUACCAUGCUGGAGAAGAACACUGUCGCAUGGACGUCUCUUCUCUCAGCAAAUGCUCACAAUGGAAACCUGCGAAGAGCCACGAAGGUUUUCUCGACAAUGCCGGAGAGGAGUUGCAAUACCUGGAGCGCGAUGCUGGAUGCUCUCACGUUUAAGGAGCGUUCUCUCCAAGUUUUUGAUGUCUUCCACGGCAUGAAAACGAUGGAUUCGCCUGUUGAUGCGAGCUUCACGUCGGUUCUCAUUGCCUGUAGCCGGGAAGGCAAAGUCUACCUGGGAAGAUCCAUCUUUGUGUCGAUCAGGAUGGACUUUGAGCUCCACCACCGCAGGCAG